GUGAACAUGUCUACACAACCAACUAAUGAAACCCCUCUACCUUAAUCGACACCACUUACUAUUUAUACAAAUGUCGGAUCAAAUCCAUCUCCAAUUGAUAGUAUUGGUGAUGAUGAAGAAAAUAAUGAGGUAACAAAAAGGAAAACAACUUCAUUAGUGUGGAAUCACUUUACAAAGGAAAAAGAUGGUGAAGUUGUUAAGGCUAAGUGCAGUUAUUGUGGAAAAAAAUUUUGUUGGGAUAGAAAAAAAGGAACAAGCUACUUACAUUCUCAUCUUAAGAUUUGCUCCAAACGUAAAUUUCGAGACAUAAAAGAUAUAGUAAAUCAAAAAGAAUUAAAGUUAGAACAAUAUGGAGGUGAAAAAGUAAAAGUUGUCAACUUCACUUUUGAUCAAGAAGUGUCAAGAAAGGAGUUAGCAUCAAUGAUUAUCAUGCAUGAAUAUCCCAUUUCUAUGGUAGAGCAUGUGGGGUUUAGAAGAUAUUCGGCUUCACUUCAACCGGUAUUUAAAAUACCUUCUAGAAAUACGGUGAGAAGCGAUAUCUUAAAAAUUUAUGAUUAUGAGAAAGAAAAGACUAUGAAUUUAUUGAAAUUCAAUUGAAGUAGAAUAGCUAUUACUACGGAUAUGUGGACAGCUAAGAAUCAAAAAAGGGGUUUUAUGGCUAUCACGGCUCACUUCAUUGAUGAUUCUUGGAUGUUGCAAAGUCGAGUGUUGAGAUAUUUUUCUUUCUUUGUGCGUAUUUUUUGUCUUAAUUUUUUAUUUAUCUUAUUCAUAUAACUUAUUAAAUAUCUAUUAUAGGUUUGCAUAUGUACCUUGUCCACACACUGCCGAUGCAGUUUCUAAAGUAUUGAUGGACACAUUUAUUGAUUGGAAUCUUGAUAAAAAGCUAUCUACUUUAACAGUAGAUAAUUGCAGUUCUAAUGAUGCCAUUGUAGAUAUCUUAUUACAUAAACUUGAGAGGAGGUCUCUUAUGGUUCGUGGGCAUUUCUUUCAUAUGCGGUGUUGUGCACAUAUUCUUAAUUUAAUUGUUAAAGAUGGAUUAGAGGUGAUUGGAGAUGCACUUGAAAAAAUACGAGAUAGUGUUGCAUUUUGGAAGGCAACUCCAAAAAGAGAGGAAAAAUUUGAAGAAACGGCCCGACAAUUGGAUAUUUCAAGUACUAAAAAGUUGGUGCUUGAUUGUAAAACACGGUGGAAUUCUACAUAUUUAAUGCUUCAAUCUGCUUUGAUAUAUAGAGAUGUUUUCUCACGUUUGAAGCUUCGUGAGCCCUUAUACAAAUGUUUGCCUUCAGAAGAUGAUUGGGUUAUAGCUAUAGACAUGUGCGAGAGACUUGAGUUAUUUUAUAGUGUGACCGAAAUAUUUUCAGGAACAAGAUAUCCCACUGCUAAUCUUUUUUUCGAAAAGAUAUGUGAUAUUCGAUUGACUUUACAUGAGUGGUCUAUAGAUCAUAACGAAAUGAUUAGAUUUAUGGCUGAAAAAAUGUUACAAAAGUUUGAUAAGUAUUGGCAUAUAAUUCAUGGCAUUAUGGGAGUGGCAACUGUUUUAGAUCCAAGAUAUAAGUUGACUUUGUUGGAUUGCUAUUUUUCAAUUAUUUAUAAUACUGAAGUGAACAAUGAAGUUGAAAGAAUUCGAAAAUUAUGUCAUGACCUCCUGGUUGAGUAUCAAGAACGAAAUAAGCGAGAGAAAGAAGUUGGUGGUGAAUCUUCUCAUUCAUUUUCUUCUUCCAUAAGUGAAGUUAGCAACAGUAGUAUAAUGGGUAGGAAGAAUUUUACCGCUAUCUAUGAUCAAUAUAUGAUGCAAAAAAAGAAAUCAACAUCUACUACACCUGCAAAAUCUGAAUUGGAUCAUUAUUUGGAGGAAGAUACUUUACCGAGAACAGAUGAUUUUGAUGUAUUGGCUUGGUGGAAGAGUAAUGGGCUCAAGUAUCCUACCUUGAUGAUGAUAGCUAGAGAUAUUCUUGCUAUACCCGUUUCUACUGUUGCAUCGGAGUCGGCAUUUAGCACUAGUGGAAGAUUUCUAACCCCACAUCGAAAUAGGCUUCAUCCCGAUAUUUUAGAAGCAUUGAUGUGCACUCGUGAUUGGUUUUGGACAAAAUUCCAUCAAGAAGGUAGUUUUCUUAAAUAUAAUAAAAUAUGAGUUAGUUUUUUUAACUCUAUCGAAUAUACUUAUUUUUUAUAUUUUAUUUGCAGAUUCUUCUACAGCUACAUCGUAUUAUCGACCUUCAUUAGAUGAUGAUGACGACGACGACGAAACUGGCAUCAUUAAUGUUGAUGAGGUAACUUCUAAUUAAUUUUUUUGUUAAAAAAAUUAUGAGAAUUUAUUAUUUCAAAAAUACUUUUAAGAAUUUUUUUUGUAUUCUCUCAUGUGCAGGAAUAAUAUGUUGCUAGCU
rnacentral:lncRNA from 1 species